CGGGGCGUGGCGCAGCUUGGCUAGCGCGCGUGAAUGGGGUUCACGAGGUCGCAGGUUCGAAUCCUGUCGCCCCGACCA
rnacentral:tRNA from 1 species